rnacentral:tRNA from 1 species
GGCCUCGUAGCUCAUCUCUUAGAGCGUGCGCUGUACAAAAGCGUAGGUGGCGUCCAUGCGUCGUGGGUUCAAAUCCCACCGAGGUUA